rnacentral:rRNA from 1 species
AACGAACGUUGGCGGCGUGGAUUAGGCAUGCAAGUCGAACGCGAGAGAGGAGCUUGCUCCUCAAUUGAGUGGCGAACGGGUGAGUAACGCGUGGGAAACCUGCCCUGAAGCGUGGAAUAACACUCCCAACGGGGUGCUAAUACCGCAUGGUAUCGCCGGAUGGCAUCAUUUGGCGAUUAAAGGUGGGGACCGAAAGGCCUGCCACUUCAGGAUGGUCCCGCGUCUGAUUAGCUAGUUGGUGGGGUAACGGCCUACCAAGGCUACGAUCAGUAGCUGGUCUGAGAGGAUGGUCAGCCACACUGGGACUGA